rnacentral:lncRNA from 1 species
GAUAGAAGAAAACAUGAAAGAAGUAAGUUCGUUUCAUUUUUUUCGCGUUCAACUAUGUUUCAUACCUGCCAUUGUAAAAUAUAGAGUAAAAUCUGGAAGAGAUCCCAAUAUCAAAUACAUUGUCAAAGAAGAGAUCAUACCUACCAUUCUACCUAUAGAAGAGAUCCUAAUAUCAAAUAAACUGUCAAGGAAGAGGUCACAACUGAAUGUAAAAGCAGAGAUAUGAUGAGUGGUAGUUCAGCUUUUACGUUGUGAGUGGCACUUACUUUGACAACUCACAGUUGAUUGAAUGCACAAUUAUGGUUAUCAUCUGACCAAGAGUUGAAUUUUCCAAUAACAACUCCAGUUUGUUACCUAUUCUCGACAAAGGUGAAAAAAGUCUCUACAGUAUCAGAAUAUGAAACUCACUUAAAUUUUGCAUUUAAGUCGCAACAGAACAAAAUGAAAACUGAUAGGGAUAAAAGGCAGUUGAAAUUGUAAGAACACUUGAGACUCAACCAAAAACUGUAAGCACAAACUAUGAACAGAUCGAGAAACAAUAUGUCCCUUUCUUUAAAAUAAAAAUAAAAAAUUAAAUAACUCACACACCCUUACAUGUGUCCCUAUUUUAUGCAUAAUCUGAUUCAUAUUAGUAAAGACGCAAACCAAAAAACGUCACCUAAUGGUCCAACAAAAAAACCGAUUGAAGAAUGAGGAGACAGCUAGUAAAGACAUCAAUAUAUCAUGUUCCUAAAUUUCAAUUUCGAUAUGCAUCUAAACUUGUAACACUUGUAUGUCUAUAAUGCAUUAGAAAUUAACCUGCAUAGAACCUCAGAGUGAGAUAUCGAAGCACAGAACUGAACGUACACAUUGCCAACCUAAAUGGAGUGAAAAUACAUAUAUCUGCCAUCCCUGCUAUUCCAUGAGGACAAAUAUGUGGAGUCAUCGUUUUGAACCAAAAUCAUAGUAUAAUCACCAUUGUUCCAAUCUGCAAACCAACACAUCAAGUCGAUCAACACCAAAAUCGAACACAUGCACCUAUAAUUUAAUUAGUAGAAAGCUCUACAUAUAAAAAGGUGAGGAACUUUCCACUUCAAAACCCAUAAUUAGAUGGAAUUAAAAGCCAUCACUUCAAAAUUGCUGCAAACAAUUCCAAGCCUUAGCAACAAAAAAUAAAAUAAAAAUUGAAUGAUCAAGAACAGAAGGGCACAUUUAAUGCAAGUGAUCAAGAACAACAAUCAGAUUAAGAAUCACACAUCUAACACAAAAGCUACAACAUCCAAAGGAAGACAUGCAUAGAAACCUACCUUUCUGAUCAAUACGUAAAAGCCUCACUUGCUCAAGAACACUAAUUUGGGGAUAGUGAUAAUCAAUAAUCAAAUUGCAAAAAUCACAUGCAAUGAGUAACUGAGGUGAAUCAAUCUCCAAUAACAUCAGAGAAAUACAAAAACAAACCAUUAACAAAACACUGAUAUGCAAAAUCAAACAGAAUCUCCAAAACCUAGAAACAUGAUCACAAAAGCUUAAAACUUUGGAACUAUAUAAUGAUGAAAUCAUCAACAUUAGUAUGAAAGAUAACAAAAGACAAACCAUGAAGGCAUCAGUGGAUGAAAUGUUGAUGAAAUAAUGAACUUUCUCUGCUCACCCCAAUCCACAACUCCAUAUAAUCAAAAGUAGCUUUUGGCCUCAGACUAUAUGAUAUCUCAUUCUGGGGUUUUUUCAGAAGGAAAGCAACAAUACCUGUGGGCUGUGAGGAUU